rnacentral:rRNA from 1 species
UAGAACUAACAGGAUUCCCCUAGUAACUGCGAGUGAAGCGGGAAAAGCUCAAAUUUAAAAUCUGGCGGUCUUUGGCUGUCCGAGUUGUAAUUUAGAGAAGCGUCUUCCGCGCCGGUCCGUGCACAAGUCUCCUGGAAUGGAGCGUCAUAGAGGGUGAGAAUCCCGUCUUUGGCACGGAUGCCUGGUGCUUCUGUGAUGCGCUCUCGAAGAGUCGAGUUGUUUGGGAAUGCAGCUCAAAAUGGGUGGUGAACUCCAUCUAAAGCUAAAUAUUGGCGAGAGACCGAUAGCGAACAAGUACCGUGAGGGAAAGAUGAAAAGCACUUUGGAAAGAGAGUGAAACAGUACGUGAAAUUGUUGAAAGGGAAACGCUUGAAGUCAGUCGCGUCGACCGAGACUCAGCCUUGCCUUGGCUUGGUGUACUUCUCGGCACGACGGGUCAGCAUCAAUUUUGCCCCUCGGAUAAUGGCAAGGGAAAGGUGGCACCUUCACGGGUGUGUUAUAGUCUCCUGUCGCAUGCGAGGGGUGGGAUUGAGGAACUCAGCGCGCACCUUGGUGUCGGGGCUUCGGCCCACGUCACGCGCUUAGGAUGCUGGCGUAAUGGCUUUAAACGACCCGUCUUGAAACACGGACCAAGGAGUCUAACAUGCCCGCGAGUGUUCGGGUGGAAAACCCGUGCGCGUAAUGAAAGUGAAAGUUGGGACCUCUGUCGUGGAGGGCACCGACGCCCGGACCAGACCUUCUGUGACGGAUCUGCGGUAGAGCGUGUAUGUUGGGACCCGAAAGAUGGUGAACUAUGCCUGAAUAGGGUGAAGCCAGAGGAAACUCUGGUGGAGGCUCGUAGCGAUUCUGACGUGCAAAUCGAUCGUCAAAUUUGGGUAUAGGGGCGAAAGACUAAUCGAACCAUCUAGUAGCUGGUUCUG